ensembl:lncRNA
GGGCUGGAUAACUCUGCCAUGCUAAUGACACACCCGGAGCAGAGCGUGACUGACUCCUGAUGGGGCCACCCCACCCUGCCCAGCAGGGAGGGACAGUGCCAGCACCUGCACGUGCUGAAACUGAAACCCUGGCUCUGGCAGCAUCGGCUCCUUCUCAGCAACCUCCUCCACCAUCAGCAUCAGAGUCCCAGCCGCAAUGCUCAAAUCCAGGAAAAUGGAAAAGCCUUGGGAACUGUAACCAGGUUCAGCUGGCUGGUUUGGUUAUAUCAUCCCAAAUUGCAAGCAAAUUCACAUUUUCAUUUCAGUGCCCAUCACUGCAUUAUCCAGGCGCCACCAUAAGAUUAAGGAGCUCUGCAGUGACAUUCUCAACGUGGUCUGCUCAAAGGUCAUUAGCAGAGCCUUCCAUUCUGGAAAAGCCCAGAGGAGGGCACGGGAGUGAGCCACAGAAGGGGAGGAGAAGGAGAAGGAGAAGGAGAAGGAGAAGGAGAAGGAGAAGGAGAAGGAGAAGGAGAAGGAGAAGGAGAAGGAGAAGGAGAAGGAGAAGGAGAAGGAGAAGGAGAAGGAGAAGGAGAAGGAGAAGGAGAAGGAGAAGGAGAAGGAGAAGGAGAAGGAGAAGGAGAAGGAGAAGGAGAAGGAGAAGGAGAAGGAGAAGGAGAAGGAGGAGGCAGCAACUGGAGCCUUUCUGGCUGUGCUCCAUGGAGGGGACGUGCUCAGGUGGUGCUGCAGUGCAGGGGCCUGGUGGCAGUGGCCCUUGUGCUGCUGCAGGGACUGUCACACUUGCUGUGGGCUCCUGUCACCUCAGACUUUGGCUCCCAUGGCCCUGCUGUCCCUGAGCUGCUCUCAGAUGCCAUUCCCAUGCUGGGACUGUAUGAUUCCAGGAUGCUCCAGCCUCAGAGCAGGAUAUUUCCCUCAAAGAUCCCAGAGCAGGCACUGCCACUCAGGAAGCACCUUCUCUGAGAGGAUACACUAGUUAAAUUUUAUCUUCCUCCCAGUGGGCAAAUCCUCCCAGCUCCCUGUGUUCGAAGGAGCCAGAAAGGGUUUCAAUGUGCACAGAGCUACCCUGGACCCACGGGAUCAGGAGAGAGGACGCUGUCCCAGGGCUCCCAGUGCUGUCCCCCUGCAGCUGCGGUGUCUCUGGGGACAGCCUGGGGAGGUGGCAGUGCCCGCGCCCCGCUCCCACAGCUGCUGGUAAGUGACAGUGUGGCACAGCUGUUCUCCAGAGCUGGCUCAGAGCUGAGGGGCAGUGGCAGCGAGCUGACGUGCUGCUCCAACGAGCCCUGCAGCCCUCGUGCCCCUCUCGGUGCCCAGGCAGCCGGGGAUUUACGCUGGCGGAUAAAUAGGUGGUGCCAAAGCGAGAAGGAAAGAGCCAAAGCUGGAAGCCAACCACAGAACGUGGGUGUAAACGAUUACCAAAGGCUUCCAGUAACUCUGCUAUCAUCAGAGACUGGCUUUAUGGGUAUGGCCUCAAGAAGUUUCCCUCCACUUAAUUAAAGAGGCAGAUAAGUAUCUAGGUGGAGUGUGCAGAUAGGUUCUGAAUGAGUUAUCCACUAAGGCUGGUUCGCUGCACCUAUUGUUAAAGCCAGAAUAUAAUAUCAGAUUAAUGCAUUAUAUUUGCCUAUUAUAGCACUAUGUCAUCAUUAUAUGACAUGUUAUAAUUAAAGCUCUGCAUUAGAAACAAAACUAUUUGGCUUGGGAUAAGUUGCCUUUAUGACUUCUGUGGUUAUGAUUUCCUCCUUUUCUUAACCCCUUAAAACUGCAUAAUAUACCUAUUUGUAGCUGUAUAAAGAAAGUUUCUAGUUUCAGAUUCUAAUCUCAGGUAAUUCAAUGUAAAUAAAAUCAAAAUCUGGCACA